CCUGGGGUCUGAACCCUGGGCCGCCGAAGCAGAAUGUGUGCACUUAACCGCUGCGUCACUGGGCCGGCCCCAAACCAGUGGGUUCUUGAUGGCACAUGGAAGUGCCAGCCCACCCUCUUCAGACUUUCACAAUCAGAAUCUUCACAUGGUUUUGAGAAACUACCGUUUUGAUAGUGACACUUGUAGCUUUCAAUUGUUUUAAAUGUCAGCAUGUAAAGGAUGCAGAGAAGUCAGUGAUCAUCUGGUUCACUUGUUUUCAAACUUAUUUUAGCUGUGUAUCCUUUUGUUUUCUUCCUCUAAUGAAACCUUAUCUGAACUCCAAUAUAUAACAUGGAUCGAAGCAGAGUGGCUUGGGGUCUGGGCGGGUCACAGAGGCCUCUGAACCCUCUGAUUCAGUCUGCUCCCCUGCGGAACACACCUUGAAAAUCACUGAUCUAGAUUGCCAUUUUAUUUCUCAGAUGGAGAAAUUGAGGCCCAGAGGGGUUAAGUGGGUCACCACAGUAGCAUAAAGCGUAGCAGAGCCGUAACUGAAACUCUGGUCUCCUGGCUUAGGAAUUGUGUUCUUUCUACGGUACCAUGCUGCUUCUAGCAUUUUGGGAUGAGCACUCCAACAAAGUAGUUGUCCUUUUCUUCAGGUGCAUGAUAACUUGGACUGGACUAACAUGAAGGCAAGUAGAGGACUUUGGGAGCCUAAUCUAAUGAACAGAUACAAGCUUUAUAAUCAGGAGCAGCUGUUUGUUAAUUUAUUUAACAGAUUUAAUGAAUGCUUACUGUUCACCAUUCUAGGUGCUAGAGAUAUAUCAGUGAACAAGACACUGCCUGUCUUCAAAGAGCUCACGUCUUUCAUACUGUUUCAAUGGAUAAUAGAGAUAUAUAUAAUGGAGAAGCAUAUGAAAGAGAGAUGAAGGCUCCUUUCUGGAAAAAUAGAUCAGAGAUUCCAACCCCCUCAGAGGUAAGAAAUACCCCAUCCCCCUGGGUCCUAGCUGAUUAGAGCAGACCCGAGGCCAGGCCAGUCAGACUGCUCCCAAGAAUUUCAAAUUGCAACACCGUCUUUCCUGGGUACACUGGAACACGGAACUGUGAUGUUUGGGCAUAUGCACAAAAUAAAUAUUGGUUGUAUGAAUGAGUACGUGGCAGGAGGAUCUGCAAAGCGGGAGAAAAGAAGCAGAUAUGUGAGGGAAACCCAGACCAGGAGAGAGGCUCCUGGUUUCUGAGCCUCCCGAGGGCUAAGGUGCUGCCUUGCGUUCCUGGAUGCCGCUGUUUCCUUAUUAAAAGCGCCAUGUUUGCUUAAGUGGAUUUCUUUCAGGUGCAACCCAAGGACCCGUGUGCCAGGGCGUGCACAUUAUUAGCUCCUGUCCUGUGUGGCCACAUACUCUCAUCUGUGGUGGUGCCCUUAUUUCCCACAGCCUCAUCAACUUAGGGCUUUGUCACCUAUUUUUGUUUUUUCGCGUUUUAUGGGCAUACAAUGUUAGCUUAAGGUAAUUAACUUGCAUUUAUUUUAUUCACUGGUGAGACCAUCAUUUUUCUGAGAUAACUUCAUAUUGUUUACAGUGUCAGCCCUUUCUGAGUAGACUCCGGGUUCACACUUACACACUUAAUUCAGUUAUUUGGAUAAUAAACGUGUAUCUGGUG